AUGAGAAAGAUGUCGGUCAGACAACAACAGGGUGUCCAGGGAGGAAGGAGCAACGAGGAGGCAGGACCAAGGGCGAGGAAUGACGCCCCGACUCUCACAACUCACACUACUGUAGCCACCGGAGGAGGGGAACCCGAACCCCUCCUGGCCAGAAGCCGCCGGACCAAACUGACACCAGUUGCACAGAGAGCACCAGAAGAAAACCAAACACCGUCGGGCCUGCAAAGCUCCCACCACCGCCACUGGGGACACGCUGUCACCGCCGCCCGACAACCACCACACCGCAGUGCCUACAAUCCAAAAAGCAUCCAAGGCGACGACUUUAAGAAGCAAAUGGCGCCAAGAGCACCGUCGCCGCCCAACAAAGUUUGA
rnacentral:rRNA from 1 species